rnacentral:rRNA from 1 species
AUUCCAGCUCCAAUAGCGUAUACUAAAGUUGUUGCAGUUAAAAAGCUCGUAGUUGAAUUUCUGGUCGUGAAAAGUGGUCCGUUCCGCAAGGAAUGUGUACUGUCUAUUCAUGUCCAUCCUCGGAGUUAGUGUGUAUUACUUUAAUCGGUCGUGCAUGCAAUACUUCGUCAUUUACUGUGAGCAAAAUAGAGUGUUCAAAGCAGGCUUAUGCCGUUGAAUAUAUUAGCAUGGAAUAAUAAGAUAUGACUUUGGUCUAUUUUGUUGGUUUGCACUCCAAAGUAAUGAUUAAUAGGGAUAGUUGGGGGUAUUCGUAUUCAAUUGUCAGAGGUGAAAUUCUUGGAUUUAUGGAAGACGAACUACUGCGAAAGCAUUUACCAAGGAUGUUUUCAUUG